rnacentral:rRNA from 1 species
GGGGCAACCCUGAGUAGAGUGGCGGGCGGGUGAGUAACGCGUAGGAAUCUACCUGGUAGUGGGGGACAACCCGGUGAAAACCGGGCUAAUACCGCAUACGAUCCACGGAUGAAAGCAGGGGACCGCAAGGCCUUGCGCUAUCAGAUGAGCCUGCGUCGGAUUAGCUAGUUGGUGAGGUAACGGCUCACCAAGGCGACGAUCCGUAGCUGGUUUGAGAGAACGACCAGCCACACCGGAACUGAGACACGGUCCGGACUCCUACGGGAGGCAGCAGUGGGGAAUAUUGGACAAUGGGGGCAACCCUGAUCCAGCAAUGCCGCGUGUGUGAAGAAGGCCUUCGGGUUGUAAAGCACUUUCGGUGGGGACAAACAAGGCGGAGCUAACAUCUCCGUCCCUGAUGGUACCCAAAGAAGAAGCACCGGCUAACUCUGUGCCAGCAGCCGCGGUAAUACAGAGGGUGCAAGCGUUAAUCGGAAUUACUGGGCGUAAAGGGUGCGUAGGUGGUUUGUUAAGUCAGGCGUGAAAUCCUCGGGCUCAACCUGGGAACUGCGCUUGAUACUGGCAGACUCGAGUGUGGUAGAGGAUAGUGGAAUUCCCGGUGUAGCGGUGAAAUGCGUAGAUAUCGGGAGGAACAUCAGUGGCGAAGGCGGCUAUCAGGACUAACACUGACACUGAGGCACGAAAGCGUGGGUAGCAAACAGGAUUAGAUACCCUGGUAGUCCACGCCCUAAACGAUGGGUACUAGACGUCGGGAAGCUUGUCUUCUUGGUGUCGCAGCUAACGCAAUAAGUACCCCGCCU